AUUUUCUAGAUUUGUUGUACCACAGAAUGAGUCACCUGAACUACUGAACAAAAGAAAGAGAUUUAUUCUGAAUUUACAUUUGCAAACUGCUCUCCACCGUAAAGAGACACUGCAAUCAUCUAUGAAGAUCCUGCUGUCAUUUGUGAAUUAUGAGAAAUCUGAUUUCCUGCUGGAUCUGUACUCCUAUGUGAAGGACUAUGAGAGUCAAACAGGCAGGAGUGUCUUUCCAGCAUUACAGCCAAUUUAUCAGUCAGCUCCUGCAGUCUGGAGAAUAAAGCUCUCAGAGAGAAAGAGCUCCAUCCUCCUAGAAGUGCUGAAACUCCAAACAGAGAAGAAACCAGUAGAGCUGAUAGACUGGACAGAUGAAGAGAGUGAAGUGAAGGGAUUCCUCCAGUGUCUGCCCCACAUCUCACAGCUGAGGAAUGCUGAGCAGUACUUCCCAUCACUAUGUAAAGUGUCCAGUGUCAAGGCAGAUCAGGUGACUCCUCUGCUCCAGGCUUUGAAUUUCACCAUCACUCUGAGUGGAAAAUUACCCAGCAGCACCUGCAGAUCUGUGGGGAGAGUUCUGGGCCUUUCACCCUCAAAAUUAAACCUGACUCUAAAGCCACAAGCCAUCUCUGUCAGAGAACUCAAACUGCUCUUCAAACACAUCAAACACCUGCAGAAGCUGAGUGUGGAAGGCAAAAUGUUAUUGAAGAUGGUCAGAGCACUGAGGUCAUUGAAUGGUUCUUUUACACUGACCACAGAGGAGCUUUCACUGGUCACAAAAGACUCUGAGCAAAAUCUCUCUCAUAUUCUGAGCAGCUUGACGUCUCUUCUGAGUCUGUUGUCUGUCCAGUGUUUGGAUCUUACUGAAUGUAAAUUAGAGGCUCUGUCUCUCACGACCCUGUUGGGUCUCCAGAAACCCCUGACUAUCAGGCUCUCUAAAGAGGUUCUUCAGCAGCUGGUUUCAGUGGUGUAUGAAGCACAGGAUGAUGGACUGGCACGCUCCUUCCUGGAGAAGGUGUCUAAUGAUCUGACUUCCUGCUCACUAAACUGGGAAGUGAUUCAUUACCUGCUGCAACAUCAAAUGCAAAAUAUCAAGUUGGACUUCAGCAAGAGCAAAAUACCUUGUGAAAACAUCAUAGAACUUUUGCCUUGGUUAGGCAGAAUCCAGUGGAAAAGGUUGAGCCCCAGCUUUAAUCUGUCCAUCAUUAUGGAGAUUUACGAGACUCGUUUCCCUCAGUAUGUGUCCAGUCUGAUGACUUCAGCAGGAAAUUAA
rnacentral:lncRNA from 1 species